AUAUUUGCAUGAAGGGGCAGCUCUUCAGCUCUGGGGGAUUUAAGACAGGAGUGAGGAAGUUUCCUUCAGAAGUUCAAACUCCUCUGGAGAGCUCACCAUCAUGUCUUCCUUUCUCUUUCUCCUUGCUCUUUUUGUUUACUGCUCAGGUAAAGCUGUGGAGAAGAUCUCUUGUUCCACUGGCCAACCAAAAGCUAACUGCAUUUAUCAUAUUUACUUAUUUGAGAAGACUGAAAAUGUUCCUUUUUCUCAAUUCUCUUAAAACAGGUGUCAUCUCUCAGUCAAUUUGGACUCAGCCUGCCUCUGAGUCUGUGGCGCUAGGUCAAACCAUUAAACUCUCCUGUACUACUAGUGAUACUGGCUCCUACAUUGGCUGGUAUCAACAGAGAUCAGGGCAGGCCCCUCGCUUUGUGCAGCGUGAGGGUGGCAGCAGGGGAGAAGGGAUCCCGGAUCGAUUCACGGCUUCUCGCUCUGGGAACAUUGGCUUUUUAACCAUCACCAACGUCCAGGCUGGAGAUGAGGCCGUUUAUUACUGUUGCAGAUGGUAUAGCAGUGCUAGUGCGUUCC
rnacentral:lncRNA from 1 species